UGGCUGGUUCUCUCCCAGCAGAGGAGAUUGAGCGCGCGGUCAUCGCAGGUGUACGAGCUGCACUUCAAAGUGCACUUCCAACGCAACCACUCACACCAUUAACGGUCUCCGGACUACAGACUAACUCGCAGGUUCUUCCAGCAGUGCCCAGAGGCGCGGUGACCCAGUUUUCAACCGCAGUCACGGCACAAAGAUCAGAUGGACAUGCCUUCAUUUCCAAAGAAGACAUCGAGGGUCUGUUGUUUCAAGGGACAACUGUUUCUGAGGCAGCCUCUGCUUUGCAUAUUUCCAGACCCACAUUAUACAAACUCAUGCGGGAAUACAACAUAAGGCACACCAGAUUUACUGAGAUUUCUGAUCAGGAACUGGAUGUAAUGAUAUGUGCCAUUAAAGCUGAACAUCCUCAUGUAGGAGAAGUUAUGCUAAAUGGGCAUUUGCGUGCCAGAAACAUUACUGUCCAAAGACGUCGUCUCAGAGACUCAAUUAAAAGGGUUGAUGGUGCUGGUGUUGAGUCCAGAAGGGCAACAACAAUACAGAGGAGAGUGUACACUGUGCCCUUCCCAAACUAUGUAUGGCACAUCGAUGGCAAUCACAAACUGAUCCGAUGGAAAUUAGUUGUACAUAGUGCAAUGGAUGGUUACAGCAGAAUGAUAACUUUUCUCCAGUGUUCCAACAACAAUAGGGCUGAAACUGUAAUGGAUCUUUUCACUACAGCCAUCAGGGAAGUUGGACGGCCCAUUCAUAUUAGAACUGAUCAUGGAGGCGAGAAUGUGCUAAUAUGGGAAGACAUGAGAGUGCACAGAGGAGAAAAUUCUGUAUUGACUGGAAGUUCAGUGCAUAACCAACGCAUUGAGAGAUUCAAUCGGGACUUAAACAGAAACUGCCGUGAUGUUUUUGCGCCCAUAUUUUAUGAACUUGAGUCCAUGG